rnacentral:rRNA from 1 species
UACGAACUGUGCGAACGUUAUUCGGAAUCACUGGGCUUACAGGGUGCGUAGGCGGCUCAACAAGUCAGGUGUGAAAGCCCCCCGGCUCAACCGGGGAACUGCGCUUGAAACUGUUAGGCUCGAGUCAGCUAGAGGUACACGGAACUUCCAGUGGAGCGGUGAAAUGUGUUGAUAUUGGAAGGAACACCGGAGGCGAAAGCGGUGUACUGGGGCUGGUCUGACGCUGAGGCACGAAAGCGUGGGGAGCAAACAGG